GAUCCUGGCUCAGGAUAAACGCUGGCGGCGCACAUAAGACGUGCAAGUCGAACGGAAGUCGUUAUAAAAAGGAUUGAAGAUUUAUCUGAUUGAGAUUUUAUAACAAUGGCUUUAGUGGCGGACUGGUGAGUAACGCGUGAGCAACCUGCCUACUAGAGGGGAAUAACAGUGAGAAAUCAUUGCUAAUACCGCAUAUGCCAUGAACAUCACAUGAUGAAAAUGGGAAAAGAGUAA
rnacentral:rRNA from 1 species